CCUGGCAGAGAAAGAAGUGGGGGAUGAGAGUCCCCCAUGGCCACCUCUCUCCUUCACCCCCAGGGUGGGGCCAGCCAGGACACCCCCCACCCAGCAGCCUCUAGACCAGGAGGACUGGAGUAGGAUGGCAUUCUCUUAAUGCCCAGGAACCCAGGAUCCGCCAUUCCCCGGCCUCAGUUUCUCCUUCUGUGAAACAGAAGGGAUGGAUAAGAGGGCCUCCCCAGCUGCAGAAGUCUGCACUUCUGGGCCUCGGUAUGGCUCUGAGGAUUCUGUUAGCAGGCAGCCCUGUGGCGGGGGAGGCUAGGAGGUGGGUGGCCGUCCUGCUCUCCACGCCUGCCAGUGGAGAAGGCAGGGUGGAGGGUGACUUUCCUCGCUCCGAUCUCCACAGGCACCUCCCUUCUGUCCUCCUCUGCAGUCCGGGAGAUCUUGAAGUAAGCUUUGAACAGGCAGGGUUGCCAGAGCAGUGGGGGCUGCCACCCCCUCACCAGCCUCUUCUAGCAUGUUCCAGAGGGGCCAUCGGGGUCUCUUUUCGGCUGGCUGGCGAUGGCUGGGACCCACAUCUUGCAGCUGGUACAGAGGCCUCAUCAAAGGCCUCUCCUCCUUGGCACCCAGGGCGAAGCAGAAAUUGUGUACCAGGGCCUGGAGCGCAGACAUGAUCCACUGGAACCUCCUGGGAGAGCUUAAACCGUCCAGCUUCAUCAGACAGGCCUGGAAAGGGUCUGCUGGCUCCCUCAGCUGCCGAGGCUGCUGCAGCUCCGGCCCGCACUGCUGCCUCGGGUGGCACGGAGGUCUCUCCUCUUGAUCAGGCCUGAGAAGCAGCCCCAGGGGCCAGUACUCUGAGAGCCGCAGGUCAGGGCGCCCGCACAGAUGUUCCUGUCUCUCUCAUCUCUGGGGUGUGCUUGCACGUGUGCGUGUGUGUGCUUUUAUCCUCGGGCACAUCAGGGUGCCCCUCCAGGAACGUGUCCCCACCUGUGAGCGAGCGAGUGCCCUCCUUGCAUCCCCAGCUGGGACGUCUGGAGCUGGCGUGCCUGUGUUUGCCCUCUGAGUCCACAGGGUCAGUCGGUGUAUCUUCUACGUGCCUCUCCCUCUGCCUUCUCUGCCCUCUCAAGGGCGUGGGGGGCCCUCCCCAUCUCCUGGACGACCCAGGGCGCUCUGGUCCCCUUCCCCUAGCAACCAGGCCGCUGAGCUAGGUCCCUCAGCAGGCCUUCUGAGGGAGGUGACCAGGAGCCUGGGUGCAGGGAGCAGCUCUCCUGGGGGCAAAGGGCUGGACCCCCCGGCCGGGCUGCAGACAUGCUUGUAUAUCCCCGGAUGCAGGGCUGCAGGGGUGGCCCCAAUCCCACCUCUGUCUAUUCUGUAAACUACAACCUGUAAAUGACG
rnacentral:lncRNA from 1 species